ensembl:lncRNA EPIC1 epigenetically induced MYC interacting lncRNA 1
CUUCCAGAAACGCCCUCACAGACACCCCGGAAGUCACGUACCCACUCUGUAGGUGCCCCGGGGCACAGGCAAGCGGACGAGCCAGUUAUCCCUCAGAGCUCCUGCUGCCUCGCCCGCUUUCUCUCGGAAACGUGAAGUGUGGCCUCAGCUGAAAGUGAGCUAGGUGGCGUAGGGUACCACAAGUUGAUUUAAUCCUAGCUCCUCUGGGGACAUGAAGAACACAAGAGCCAUUAUUCUGAGGACUCUGCUGGGUCUGAGCCCUUGCUCUUGCCUCCAGGACCCACUGGCAUUCCUUUCCCUAGCAAAAGGCGGAGGCCUCUGCGGGCUCACGACCCACACAGCCGCACCUGUGGGCCUCAUUCAAUCAGUUGAAUUCUUCAAGAGAGAAAAACUGAAGUCCCUUAGAAGGAAAGAGUUCUGCCUUCAGACUGUCUUUGAACUUAAGACUGUAGCGUCGACUCCUGCCGGAAUUUCCAGCCUGCUGGCCAGCUCUGCAGAUUCACACUUGCCAGCCUCCACAAUCGCAGCUGAGGCGGAGGAACCCUAAGGGCUCAUUGAGAUCAUGGAUUUGCCCUUCUAUGCAUUGAUGGAGCACCUGCUGCCCACAGCGUCUGUAUUUGGUGCUGGGAUGCUGAGGACACUGAGAUCUUCAAACAGAGGCUGCCACUCUAAGCAAACAGAUCCCGAGCCCUGGACUCUGAAGCUUGGGCCCAGUUCUCCUUUUCUCCGGGUUUCAGAUCCCACUGUGAAGUGAGGGGGCCCUUCUGAUUCAGGACCCGGGGAAGCCAGGGGCAUGAGCAUCGGUGCCUCUUCUCUAUUUCAAGGACCCUUCUGGGUGUAAAGUUCUCUGAGAUGCCUUACAUGGAUUCCCACCACUGCAAGAUAACCAUCGUAUGUAAAGUGUUAUGACCAGCAGAGCGUAAUUGAAGUGCAUUCCAGAGGGAAAGACAGCGGCUCAGGGACAUGACCCUAUGCCAGCCCACACCACAGUCUUGGUCAUCACUCCUGUUUCCAUGGUGUUAACAGCAGCAGUUACUUGGUUACGGAGAGCUUUUCCUUACGCCAGCACCCUAUCCAUAUCGCUUGGACAGUACGUACACAAUGGUGAUGUUAUUGCUCGUCAUGUAUUACUAGUAAGAGCUUUGUCCCAGCAAGGAAGCCACCCAUGCAUCCACCAAACAUGAGAAACUCAAUCCCCAAAUCUCGUUUUGAAGUUCUGGUUCCUAGUCCAUUCCUAGUAGCCACAAUGAGAUCAGUCAGGGUCUUAGGAGGAAAAAACAUUCACACAGAUGUUUUAAAUGAAGGGACCUUAAUGACUAAACUACUAACAGACCUGUUGGCAUAUUAAGGAAAGAAAUGAGAGAGAUGGGGAAACUAAGGACUGGUAACAGCUGGAAGGCUUUGCCACCCUAAGAAUCAAACAGGGAAGGGAAAGAUGCAGCGUUACCAGGUCCUGUGUGAGCUGGCAUGAAGCCCGGGAGGUACCACCAUGGAGGCAUGGGGCUUCCUGAGAAGUGGUGAGGAAGAAUGGAUGGAGCAGGGAAGCAAGACCCCUUCCACCCACCGGCCCCCUGCUGCUGACCUCUUGGCCAAAUGGGACAGAAGCCAGCUUGCAGGGGCUGCUAUUCCGCCUGUGGGUAUCAGGGCAGAAAGUGGGCAGUUUCAGGGCAGGUGGGGUCAGUCAACAAUUCAGUUCAUCUUUUUCAGUUUUCUUUCUGGAUGAUUUUCAGAUGCUGUCUUGUGGUGUUGGGACUGCAGUUUCAUGAAAAUAUGUCUAGGUGUAGAGUUUGUUUUAUUCUGCUUAGAUAUAGAGUGCUUCCUAUGUUGGUGGAUCCAUCUUUUUUGACAUUAUGGAAAUUGUCUCUUUAAGUGUGUCUACUGCUGUAUUCUUUUUUUUUUUUGUAGGAAAGCAAAUAUAUGCGACUUUUUCAUUCUGUUAUCUAGAGGCAGUUUUGAAUGGUGAUUAAAAGCAUGAUUUCUGAAGAAGACUGCCUGGGUUUAAAUCUUAUUCCCCAAAGUUCCUAGCUGUGUGACCUUAGGCAAGUUACUUAAAAUCUCCGUCCCUCUGUAAUCUCACCAUGUAAAUGAGGGUGACAUUAGCACGGUGCAGGUUUGACGUGAGGAUUGAAUGGAUGAAUGUCAGGAAAGAUCCAGGACAUAAUGGAAAAACUUAUGUCUUACCUAUUGUUGUUAUUGCUUGAUAUUAAUGUUGUCUUCUUUAUUAUAGUAAGAAUGCAACAUAAGGCAGGGUGCGGUGGUUCACGCCUGUAAUUCCAGCACUUUGGGAGGCCAAGGUGGGCGGAUCAUCUGAGGUUGGGAGUUUGAGACCAGCCUGACCAACAUGCAGAAAACUCGUCUCUAUUAAAAAUACAAAAUUAGCUGGGCGUGGUGGCGCAUGCCUGUAAUCCCAGCUGCUUGGGAGGCUGAGGCAGGAGAAUCGCUUGAACCCAGGAGGCAGAGGUUGCAGUGAGCUGAGAUCACGCCAUUGCACUCUAGCCUGGGCAACAGAGCAAGACUCCUUCUCAAAAAAAUAAAAAUAAAAUAAAAAAAUUAGCUGGGCGUGGUGGUGGGCACUUGUAAUUCCAGCUGCUUGGGAGGCUGAGGCAGGAGAAUAGCUUGAACCUGGGAGGCGGAGGUUGCAGUGAGCCGAGAUCAUGCCAUUGCACUCCAGCCUGGGAGACAGAGCAAGACUCCGUCUCAAACAAACAAACAAACGAACAAAUAAACAAACAAAAAAACACAA